rnacentral:rRNA from 1 species
CCUACGGGUGGCAGCAGUAGGGAAUAUUGCUCAAUGGGGGAAACCCUGAAGCAGCAACGCCGCGUGGAGGAUGAAGUUUUUCGGAUUGUAAACUCCUUUUGUUAGAGAAGAUAAUGACGGUAUCUAACGAAUAAGCACCGGCUAACUCCGUGCCAGCAGCCGCGGUAAUACGGAGGGUGCAAGCGUUACUCGGAAUCACUGGGCGUAAAGGGCGCGUAGGCGGGAUAGCAAGUCAGAUGUGAAAUCCUAUGGCUUAACCAUAGAACUGCAUUUGAAACUGUUAUUCUAGAGUAUGGGAGGGGUAGGUGGAAUUCUUGGUGUAGCGGUAAAAUCCGUAGAGAUCAAGAGGAAUACUCAUUGCGAAGGCGACCUGCUAGAACAUAACUGACACUGAUGCGCGAAAGCGUGGGGAGCAAACAGGAUUAGAUACCCGAGUAGUC